rnacentral:pre_miRNA from 1 species
AGUCUGGUACUGUAAACAUCCCCGACUGGAAGCUGUAAAAUAACAUCUGAGCUUUCAGUCAGAUGUUUGCUGCAACCGGCUGCUUUCAG